rnacentral:tRNA from 1 species
AAUAAAAUAGUUUAUUAAGAAUGUAGGGUUUGCGUCUCUAAGGUGGAUAUUUUCCUUUUGUUG